rnacentral:rRNA from 1 species
UAAGCGGAGGAAAAGAAACCAACAGGGAUUGCCUCAGUAACGGCGAGUGAAGCGGCAACAGCUCAAAUUUGAAAUCUGGCCCUUGGGUCCGAAUUGUAAUUUGCAGAGGAUGCUUUUGGCGAGGUGCCUUCCGAGUUCCCUGGAACGGGACGCCACAGAGGGUGAGAGCCCCGUCCGGAUGUGCCACCAAGCCUCUGUAAAGCUCCUUCGACGAGUCGAGUAGUUUGGGAAUGCUGCUCUAAAUGGGAGGUGUAUGUCUUCUAAAGCUAAAUACCGGCCAGAGACCGAUAGCGCACAAGUAGAGUGAUCGAAAGAUGAAAAGUACUCUGAAGAGAGAGUUAAAUAGCACGUGAAAUUGUUGAAGGGGAAGCGUUUAUGACCAGACUUGGGGCUGGCCGAUCAUCCAGGGUUCUCUCUGGUGCACUCGGCCAGUCUUAGGCCAGCAUCAGUUUGCGCCGGGGGAUAAAGGCUUCGGGAACGUAGCUCCUCUCGGGGAGUGUUAUAGACCGUUGCGUAAUACCCUGGUGCGGACUGAGGAACGCGCUUCGGCACGGAUGCUGGCGUAAUGGUCAUCAACGACCCGUCUUGA